rnacentral:rRNA from 1 species
UCGGGAAUUUUGGGCAAUGGGCGAAAGCCUGACCCAGCAACGCCGCGUGAAGGAUGAAGUCUUUCGGGAUGUAAACUUCGUAAAAAUAGGAAGAAUAAAUGACGGUACUAUUUGUAAGGUCCGGCUAACUACGUGCCAGCAGCCGCGGUAAUACGUAGGGACCAAGCGUUGUUCGGAUUUACUGGGCGUAAAGGGCGCGUAGGCGGCGUGGUAAGUCACUUGUGAAAUCUCCGAGCUUAACUCGGAACGGUCAAGUGAUACUGCUGUGCUAGAGUACAGAAGGGGCAAUCGGAAUUCUUGGUGUAGCGGUGAAAUGCGUAGAUAUCAAGAGGAACACCUGAGGUGAAGACGGGUUGCUGGGCUGAUACUGACGCUGAGGCGCGAAAGCUAGGGUAGCAAACGGGAUUAGAUACCCUCGUAGUCCCUGAGCGGGCUGGCAAGGCGCAU